rnacentral:rRNA from 1 species
AGAGUUUGAUCAUGGCUCAGGAUUAACGCUAGCGGCAGGCCUAAUACAUGCAAGUCGAACGGUAACAGGGUAGCAAUACCGCUGACGAGUGGCGCACGGGUGCGUAACGCGUAUGCAAUCUACCUCUAACUGGGGAAUAGCUCAGAGAAAUCUGAAUUAAUACCGCAUAAUAUAGUGAAUAGGCAUCUAUUUACUAUCAAACCUUCGGGGGUUAGAGAUGAGCAUGCGUAUCAUUAGCUAGUUGGUGAGGUAACGGCUCACCAAGGCUACGAUGAUUAGGGGGUCUGAGAGGAUGAUCCCCCACACUGGUACUGAGACACGGACCAGACUCCUACGGGAGGCAGCAGUAAGGAAUAUUGGUCAAUGGACGAAAGUCUGAACCAGCCAUGCCGCGUGCAGGAUUAAGGCCCUAUGGGUCGUAAACUGCUUUUAUACGGGACAAAACCCCCCUACGUGUAGGGGGCUGAUGGUACUGUAAGAAUAAGGAUCGGCUAACUUCGUGCCAGCAGCCGCGGUAAUACGAAGGAUUCGAGCGUUAUCCGGAUUUAUUGGGUUUAAAGGGUGCGUAGGCGGACUGAUAAGUCAGUGGUGAAAUCCUGUUGCUUAACAACAGAACUGCCAUUGAUACUGCCAGUCUUGAGUACAGUUGAGGUAGGCGGAAUGUGUCAUAGUGGUGAAAUACUUAGAUAUGACACAGAACACCGAUUGCGAAGGCAGCUUGCUAAACUGUAACUGACGCUGAGGCACGAAAGCAUGGGGAGCAAACAGGAUUAGAUACCCUAGUAGUCC